rnacentral:lncRNA from 1 species
CUCGUCUGCCUGCAAAUCGACGGUGGCUGAGAAAGAAGAGCUGUGCGAAGGGUGGACCAGCGGGCAGACUGGCGCUCGCCCUGGAGCGGACAUAGCGUCCUGUGGCGGGGGUCGAGGUAAGUGGCGGCUUCCUCUUCUCUCUGGAGUUUGAUUUGGCUUCACAUCCUGCCUUCUUUCACUGAUGCUUACUGUCGCAGGCUACAUUGUGCAUGGGUUUGUGUGACACCAAUGUUGGUGCAUGGUUAGUAUCGAGCUGAUGUUGGUGCAUGGGCUAGUAUUUCACCAAUGUCAGUGC